GGGUCAUUAGGUUGGUCGUGCCACCGGUACGUACUGGUCUCACUGAUUCCUCCUUCCUGAAGAACCGUAAUGCCAUUAAUUUGGUUUUGCGGGGAAACAGGACUGUUACUUUGAAAAAAUUAGAGUGUUUAAAGCAGGCUAACGCUUGAAUACAUUAGCAUGGAAUAAUGAAAUAGGACGAUCGAUCCUAUUUUGUUGGUUUCUAGGAUUGACGUA
rnacentral:rRNA from 1 species